rnacentral:rRNA from 1 species
AUUCUCAAAUGAAUUGACGGGGGCCCGCACAAGCAGUGGAGUAUGUGGUUUAAUUCGAAGCAACGCGAAGAACCUUACCAGGUCUUGACAUCCAACGACCGCCUAAGAGAUUAGGCUUUCCUUCGGGACGUUGAGACAGGUGGUGCAUGGUUGUCGUCAGCUCGUGUCGUGAGAUGUUGGGUUAAGUCCCGCAACGAGCGCAACCCUUAUUACUAGUUACUACGCAAGAGGACUCUAGUGAGACUGCCGUUGACAAAACGGAGGAAGGUGGGGAUGACGUCAAAUCAUCAUGCCCUUUAUGACCUGGGCUACACACGUACUACAAUGGCUAUUAACAGAGAGAAGCAAGACCGCAAGGUGGAGCAAACCUCAGAAAAAUAGUCUCAGUUCGGAUUUGGGGGCUGCAACCCGCCCCCAUGAAGCCGGAAUUGCU